UGGGGUUGGGCCUCCAGGUGGCAGCCGGGCGGAACUGGUAGGGAGAGCGAGGGAGGGGCCGGGGCCAGGUAGAGCUGCCCUGCGGCGGGGCGAGGAGGGCCGAGAUGAGGUGCUGCCGCCUCUGCAGAUUCGACGCGGCCCGCGGCCCCCGGCGGCUUAUGCGCGUGGGCCUGGCGCUGAUCCUGGUGGGCCACGUGAACCUGCUCCUGGGGGCCGUGCUGCACGGCACCGUCCUACGACACGUGGCCAAUCCCCGCGGCGCCGUCACCCCGGAGUACACCACGGCCAAUGUCAUCUCCGUGGGCUCGGGGCUGCUGAGUGUUUCCGUGGGACUUGUGGCCCUCUUGGCAUCCAGGAACCUUCUGCGCCCAAGACUGCACUGGGCUCUCCUGGCACUAGCUCUGGUGAACCUCCUCUUGUCUGCUGCCUGCUCCCUGGGCAUCCUCCUUGCUGUGUCACUCACUGUGGCCAACGGUGGCCGCCGUCUUAUUGCUGACUGUCAUCCAGGGCUGCUGGAUCCUUUGCUACCGAUGGACAAGGGGUCUGGACGCACUGACUGCCCGUUUGACCCUACAAGAAUCUAUGAUACAGCCUUGGCUCUCUGGAUCCCUUCUUUGGUCAUGUCUGCAGGAGAGGCUGCUCUAUCUGGUUACUGCUGUGUGGCUGCACUCACCUUACGUGGGGUUGGGCCCUGCAGGAAGGAAGGGCUUCAGGAGCAGCUGGAGCAACUGACAGAUCUUGAACUUCCUAAGUGUAAAAGACAGGAAAAUGAACAGCUACUGGAUCAAAAUCAAGAAAUCCAGGCAUCACAGAAAAGCUGGGCUUAAGACAGAACUGCAUGGGACACUGCCAGGAGCCCACCUCACACACCCUCCUGGGUGUAGCUGGUACUGUUCCACCCCCUCUGUGGAAUCUACUUCUUCAGUCCCAGCACUCUACUUACUGCACUGUACUUCCUGAUUCCAGUCAGCUGGGGUCCCACAGCCCGAACUACUUCCAGACUGCGCUGAGGAGGCAGAAACUUGAUGGCGAGUUCAGCUGCCUGAGCGGUUGAACGGAAGAUGACAAUGGCUUUCAGGGAACCCAGUGAAGGAGGAGGAGAUCAGAGACCAAAGAAAGUGGCAACAGACGCUGAGAGGUGGGAUUCUCUGAUGAACGCUACCCCUCCCUCUACCUUGUGGGCUUGCUCCCAGCGGCCAGCCUGAGUGUACAUGUCGAUUGCAUCUUUUGUCCGGUCUCCUUUGAUGUAGAGCUCCUCGGCAAUCUGUGGUUGAGAGAGGUAGACACAAAAGGCCAAGAGCAACAGAGUUAAAGCAGCCUGUGAGGGAAGGAAAGAACAAGCCUCAGCUGGGAUGGAGGAGAGCUGGGGAUACUACUAUUGUAUAAUAACAGAGAAGAAAAGAUGACAAUGGGGGUCUCACACCUUCUACUGUUUUGAAAAAAAAACAAGACUAGCCCAAACCAGAAUGGGGAAGAUGGGAGCUUAAAAGGGCUGUCGGUUAAGCAUCCAACUCUUGAUUUCAGCUCUGGUCAUGAUCUCAUGGUUCGUGAGAUGAGCCCUGCAUCCGGCUCUGUGCUCCCAGCACGGAGCCUGCUUGGAAUUCUCUCUCUUCUCUUUCUGCCCCUCCCCUGCUCU